rnacentral:rRNA from 1 species
CCAAUAGCGUAUAUUAAAGUUGUUGCAGUUAAAAAGCUCGUAGUUGAAUUUUGGAUUCUUCCAAUUGGUCCAUCUUUUAGAUGAGUACUGGUUGUGUGGGGUCUAUCCGCCUGGUGAUACGUAAUGUCCUUUAUUGGAUGUUGCGGGUAGUCAGGACCUUUACCUUGAAAAAAUUAGAGUGUUUAAAGCAGGCUUAUGCCGGAAUACAUUAGCAUGGAAUAAUAGAAUAGGACGAAGUUGUUUUAUUUUGUUGGUUUCUAGGACAACCGUAAUGAUUAAUAGUGAUAGUUGGGUGCAUUAGUAUUCAAUUGUCAGAGGUUAAAUUCUUGGAUUUAUUGAAGACUAACUACUGCGAAAGAAUUUGCCAUGGAUGUUUUCAUUAAUCAAGAACGAAAGUUAGGGGUUCGAAGACGAUCAGAUACCGUCGUAGUCUUAUCCAUAAACUAUGCCGACUAGGGAUCGGGCGAUGUUGUUUCCAUGACUCGCUCGGCGCCUUAUG